rnacentral:rRNA from 1 species
GACAUAGGUGGCGACCGUUAUCCGGAAUUAUUGGGCGUAAAGGGCGCGUAGGCGGUUUGUACAGUCAGACGUGAAAUUCCCGGGCUCAACCUGGGGGCUGCGUUUGAUACGUGCAGACUUGAGUUCGGAAGAGGGUCGUGGAAUUCCCAGUGUAGAGGUGAAAUUCGUAGAUAUUGGGAAGAACACCGGUGGCGAAGGCGGCGACCUGGUCCGAUACUGACGCUGAGGCGCGAAAGCGUGGGGAGCAAACAGG